UACGGGGGGAGCAAGCGUUGUUCGGAUUUACUGGGCGUGAAAGGGCGCAGUAGGCGGUCAGCACAAGUCAGUUGUGAAAUCUCCGGGCUUAACUCGGAAAGGUCAACUGAUACUGUGCGACUAGAGUGCAGAAGGGGCAACUGGAAUUCUCGGUGUAGCGGUGAAAUGCGUAGAUAUCAGGAGGAACACCGGUGGCGAAGGCGGCCUUCUGGACAGUGACUGACGCUGAGACGCGAAAGCGUGGGGAGCAAACAGG
rnacentral:rRNA from 1 species